ACUGAAUAGAUACCCGGGUAGUCCACGCUGUAAACGAUGAUUACUCGAUGUUGGCGAUACACAGUCAGCGUCUGAGCGAAAGCAAUAAGUAAUCCACCUGGGGAGUACGAUCGCAAGAUUGAAACUCAAAGGAAUUGACGGGGGUCCCGCACAAGCGGAGGAGCAUGUGGUUUAAUUCGAUGAUACGCGAGGAACCUUACCUGGGCUCGAACGUAAGAUGACUGUAGGUGAAACGCUUACAUCUCUUCGGAGCAUUUUAACCGAGGUGCUGCAUGGUUGUCGUCAGCUCGUGCCGUGAGGUGUCGGG
rnacentral:rRNA from 1 species